GGGGUUAUAGCUCAGUGGUAGAGCAUUCGCUUUGCAUGCGAGGGGUCAUGGGUUCGAUCCCUGUUAACUCCA
rfam:Enterocytozoon bieneusi H348 SC_2384 genomic scaffold, whole genome shotgun sequence.